CCCUUAGAUGUCCGGGGCCGCACGCGCGCUACAAUGGAUGAAUCAACGCGUCAUCCUGGCCCGAAAGGGUUGGGGAACCGCUGAACCUCAUCCGUGGUUGGGAUUGGGGUUUGUAAUUAUUCCCCAUGAACUAGGAAUUCCUAGUAAGCGCGAGUCAUCAGCUCGCGUUGACUACGUCCCUGCCCUUUGUACACACCGCCCGUCGCUCCUACCGAUUGAAUGGUCCGGUGAAGUGCUCGGAUCGUGGCGACGUGGGUGGUCUGCCGCUGACGACGCUGCGAGAAGUCCAUUGAACCUUAUCAUUUAGAGGAAGGAGAAGUCGUAACA
rnacentral:rRNA from 1 species